rnacentral:rRNA from 1 species
UACGGAGGGUGCGAGCGUUGUCCGGAAUCAUUGGGCGUAAAGGGCGCGUAGGUGGCCCGGUCAGUUCGUGGUGAAAGCGCGGGGCUCAACCCUGCGUCGGCCAUGAAUACUGCCGCGGCUGGAGCACUGUAGAGGCAGGCGGAAUUCCGGGUGUAGCGGUGGAAUGCGUAGAGAUCCGGAAGAACACCGGUGGCGAAGGCGGCCUGCUGGCAGUGCUGGACACUGAGGCGCGACAGCGUGGGGAGCAACAGG